GGGAGGCAGCAGUAGGGAAUCUUCCACAAUGGACGCAAGUCUGAUGGAGCACGCCGCGUGAGUGAAGAAGGUUUUCGGAUCGUAAAGCUCUGUUGUUGGUGAAGAAGGAUAGAGGCAGUAACUGGUCUUUAUUUGACGGUAAUCAACCAGAAAGUCACGGCUAACUACGUGCCAGCAGCCGCGGUAAUACGUAGGUGGCAAGCGUUGUCCGGAUUUAUUGGGCGUAAAGCGAGCGCAGGCGGAAUGAUAAGUCUGAUGUGAAAGCCCACGGCUCAACCGUGGAACUGCAUCGGAAACUGUCAUUCUUGAGUGCAGAAGAGGAGAGUGGAAUUCCAUGUGUAGCGGUGGAAUGCGUAGAUAUAUGGAAGAACACCAGUGGCGAAGGCGGCUCUCUGGUCUGCAACUGACGCUGAGGCUCGAAAGCAUGGGUAGCGAACAGGAUUAGAUACCCUGGUAG
rnacentral:rRNA from 1 species